AUAGAGAAGAAUUUCUUCCCAAUACCUAAUCUAAACCUACCCUCUUCCAGUCUAAAAGAAAAAAAGAAAUCUGAAGAAAUCACUCCUGGUGGUAACAUCUGACCUCUUCAUCGAAAAAGCAGCCUCCAUCUACUUCAAGAAGGUGUGAUGUGUCCAGGCUCAGAGGGCCCCCUCAAGUGCACUGUUCCUGCAGCCAGAAGUCUCAAUGCUGCACAGUCUGCAAUGCCAGAGAGACUGAGCUUUGGUCCCUUCUCUGAAAUACUUCAUGCUGGACAGGCCCUCCCAAAGCAGUGGCCACACAAGAGAGAGAUAGAGCUACAAGUCCCAAGAGACCAGAGACUGAAGAAUAUGAGUUGUCAAAUACAGUGUUUGAUCCCAACAUUUAUUUGCCUGGUUACUUCACUAGGAGGCCUAUGGAGGCUUCUACACUUCUAUUUUGGGGGCGAGGGAAUGAAAUGGAGAUUGAAAAGUAGAAAGGGUUUGGUAGAAACAAGGAGACUGCCAUCUAAAUUCACAUCCUUCUUCUUUAUGUAAGAAGAAAUGAAAUGAGGAAGAAAUACCCCAGAUGCUGCCUAUUUUCGGUGAGUCAACUCUGCUUCGUCUUCCUCUCACAAAGAGAAGCAGAUUUUGUAACAAUUCCAACUUUGACAUUUUGGUCUUAAGUCAGAGAGAUAUUUAAAUACCUGCUUUGUGAACAGAAUUAUAUUGCUGGUUCCUCAGAACUUUGACUUGAAUUUUAGAACCUCUUUUCUAACAACAAAUAAAUAAGGAAGAUACAUAAUAUUCAGAAAGGUGGCAGGAUCCAAGAACAAAAUCUAAGUUCCCUUCUGCUGCAGUAAAUAUCUGAUAGGUUCAGAGUGUGCAGUUGGUGUAUGCAACAUCAGUGAUUUAACAUUGCUGCAAGGAAAGAGUCAUCCUUGGUGCUGUGCUCAUGCCAGUAAGUAUAAAACCAUCCCCUUCCUAUCUGGUCAAGGAAUUCAGAUGUGUAAAUGCCAGAUGGAGUCUUCUGUAGAGAACAAGUCCCUUCCUAGCUCAAAUUUAACUUUAUUCCUUGUCUUUAUUUUGAUGCAAACACAUUGUAUUCUCCCUUCAUUUUCCUAUGAUGAUUUAAAGUGAAGGCAUCAGUCUGAUUGAAAAUGCAACUUGCAGUAUUUCCUAUUCCACACUGAGAAAGAUGAAAGCUCUUAACUUCUUGAAGGCAUCUCUCAAAUAUAAUUAAUAAACCUAUUCUGGCCAGGACAGCAAGAUUUAAUCUCCAAGUAGAAAAGGUCAGUCUAGAGCAGGUGAGGAAUGGAGAUAAGGAGACAGGACUGUCGACUGCAAAGGCAGUUUGUGAAAAAAAUAGCUGGAUAAAAUAUAAAGGAGUGCAAAUAUAGGAAUGGAAAAACACUUUUAAUGCCAAAUAUCCAUAAUUUUGAAUGGCUACAAGAAUCUGCAAUUUUAGGUGGGAAAAAAACCCAUGUAUAACCUUGACCCUAAUGUUGAGCUCAAGUUAUUGCCUCUGCAUGAUUUUCCCCAAACAAAUUCAUCAUCUGCCCUGCUGGAGCACAUUGCUGCACAAUGCCCAGAAGCACAGUGGAUUGCCAAGAAGAGUUAUUAAGACAAAGGUUCCCAGGUUUUGUUUUUGUUUUUUAUUAUUAUUGGUGUUUUUUUACAUUACAGAAGAUUUAGGAUCUCCCUUCACUCUUGAGCUAUAAGGGAAGGAGGCCACUGUAAGCCUCUCUGUGGAGAGAGAGAAGGGAUAACUGCAUGACACUUCCCUUGAGAACCAAAACCAUCAAUUGCAAUAACUGAAAGCCCUGGGAGCAUCUACAACUAACAGUGAGGGAUCUGCAGUCAGAAAACAUGUCAUUUUUGUUGUUUCUCUGUAUUUAUGAAUGAUUAGGAAGAUCAAGAUUUUUUUUUUUUCACUGAUACAUUUUCUUUCACUCUUGUGCACCUCCUGACUGGAAGACAUUCAGUGAAUAUCAAUACUUUUUUUUGAGCAGCAUUAGGUUAAAGAUGGAGAAUCUAAAGCCACACUGACAGAAAAAUUAGGUACCUAAUUUUCAUACAUUCUCCAUAAAACCAUUAUGUGGCUGAGUCCAGAAAGAUUAAAAAAUUGCAAGGAGUGACCUCAACAUGGUACAAGGUUACGAGUGACAUACUCCCCUCCCCCAACACGCUUCAGAUUGCAGCAUGCUACAGAUUGUAGAUAUGUACAUGGAAAUACAAAUAAAAUACUAAAAUUAAAAAAAUAUUGCUCUAUCACAAAAGUA